CAUUCCCAGCAUCUCUCAGCAAGAAGACACUUCUGAGGAAACAACAAAAGGCAGCUUAAAGGAAUGAUAUUCUGAAAUGAGGAUGCAGAGAAGACAUUUGUGGUGGGUUGCCCCCCGUUCGGACCGGUUUGCAAGAACCAGUAGUAAAACUGGCAGGAGGCUCCACCCACCACCCUGGAUGUCAUCAUAGGUGAUCUGCGAGCAAGUGAGCAUGAUCCCAUUGCAAACUGGUAGUAAAGGCAUCCAGUGAUCACUGGAAUGGAAGAAGCAUUAGACACACAAUGUUAAGAGUCAAAAAAUGAUGGAAGGAAAAUGAGUGAUAAGCAGCAAAAAGAAACAGGAGGCAGAGAAAAAGCUUGUGAACAUUUCCUUCAACAAUCGUCAGAAGGCCUUUCUUAAUACUAAUAUGAGCCAAUUUUCAGCCAUUUUGAGACACAAUAGAAUAAAUGCUUUUCCUUAUCAUAAAUAUGAGACCCAACUUUUCUUUGCUGUUCCAAUCAUUUUUUUUCUGCAGUCUAUGAAACUAGAUUUAGCAGAGGUUUUUUUUUUUGGAGGGGGAGAAAAACUGUGUACAAUUUCCUAGGUUUCCCACAUGCCCAGAAGAUGGCACAGAAUUUGAAACAAUUAGAUAGCUUCUUAUUCAAAGCAAUACUGAGGUAUUGAAGGCAGUGAAACAGAGUGGAGGAAAGAGUGGA